rnacentral:rRNA from 1 species
CCUACGGGUGGCAGCAGUGAGGAAUAUUGGUCAAUGGACGCAAGUCUGAACCAGCCAUGCCGCGUGCAGGAAGACGGCUCUAUGAGUUGUAAACUGCUUUUGUACGAGGGUAAACGCAGGUACGCGUAUCUGUCUGAAAGUAUCGUACGAAUAAGGAUCGACUAACUCCGUGCCAGCAGCCGCGGUAAUACGGAGGAUUCAAGCGUUAUCCGGAUUUAUUGGGUUUAAAGGGUGCGUAGGCGGUCGGAUAAGUUAGCGGUGAAAGCCCGAGGCUCAACUUCGGAAUUGCCGCUGAUACUGUUCGGCUAGAGAGUAGUUGCGGUAGGCGGAAUGUAUGGUGUAGCGGUGAAAUGCUUAGAGAUCAUACAGAACACCGAUUGCGAAGGCAGCUUACCAAGCUACGUCUGACGUUGAGGCACGAAAGCGUGGGGAGCAAACAGGAUUAGAUACCCGGGUAGUC